rnacentral:rRNA from 1 species
AUUGAACGCUGGCGGCAGGCCUAACACAUGCAAGUCGAGCGGAGCGGCGGACGGGUGAGUAAAGCCUAGGAAUCUGCCCGGUAGUGGGGGAUACCGUCCGGAAACGGGCGCUAAUACCGCAUACUCUCAGAUGAGCCUAGGUCGGAUUAGCUAGUUGGUGGGGUAAAGGCUUACCAAGGCGACGAUCCGUAACUGGUCCGAGAGGAUGAUCAUGCACACUGGAACGGAGACACGGUCCAGACUCCUACGGGAGGCAGCAGUGGGGAAUAUUGGGCAAUGGGCGAAAGCCUGAUCCAGCCAUGCCGCGUGUGUGAAGAAGGUCUUCGGAUUGUAAAUCACUUUAAGUUGGGAGGCGUUACCAACAGAAUAAGCACCGGCUAACUACGUGCCAGCAGCCGCGGUAAUAC